GAAAUGCGAUAAGUAGUGUGAAUUGCAGAAUUCAGUGAAUCAUCGAAUCUUUGAACGCACAUUGCGCCCCUUGGUAUUCCAUGGGGCAUGCCUGUUCGAGCGUCAUUUGUACCCUCAAGCUCUGCUUGGUGUUGGGUGUUUGUCCCCGUCUCCGCGCGUGGACUCGCCCCAAAGUGAUUGGCAGCCGGCGUACUGGUCCCGGAGCGCAGCACAUGUCGCGCAAACGAGUGCCUUGGUACGGCGGCGUCCAUAAGCCCCUCUCUCACGCUCUUGACCUCGGAUCAGGUAGGGAUACCCGCUGAACUUAAAC
rnacentral:misc_RNA from 1 species